CCAUAUAAUCUCUGUUUUUCUUUUUUAAUGUUUACUUAUUUAUUUGCAAGAAUCAGAGAGGGAGAGACAGAGAUCUUCCCUCUGCUGGUUCACUCCCCCAGAUGGCAGAAAUGGCCACGGCUGAGCCAGGCCAAAGCCAGGAGCCUGGAGCUGCAUCUGGGUCUCCCACGUGGCUGCAGCGGCCCAAGCCCUUGAGCUGUCCUCUGCUGCUUUCCCAGGCACAAUGGCAGGAAGCUGGAUCGGAAGUGAAGCAUCCAGGACACCAGCCAGCACCCAUAUGGGAUGGUCACACUGCAGGCGGCGGCUUUACCCGCUGUGCCACAGCACCAACUCCCACAUAAGCUCUCAGUUCAACCAGGGCCAGACCUGACACUGAGGGCGCCACAGUCAAACCUCCCAGCUCCUACCAGGGCCUCUGCCCGUUGUGCAGAGUAACUUGACAAACCUCUUAGACCACUCACUCUUGUCCCUUUGCGUAGGAUUGGGUUUUCCCAAGUUAAAGUCGUCUCCUGUGGCUCCAUCCGCAUUGCACACGCCCGCAGCCAUGCUGCUGUUGCGUUUCCUCUUUCCGUCCUUGAACAGUUACCCUGGGAAAAUGGCGGAAGCAGUUUUCCAUGCCCCGAAACGGAGGAGAAGAGUGCACGAGAGUUACGAGUCCCCGUGGCCCAUCCCUUUUGCUCAGGACUGUGGUCCCCAGAGAGAGUUCAGAAUGUUCCGCGCCGAGAUGAUCAACAACAGCGUGGUGGUGAGGAGCCCGGAAGACAUCGGGCAGCUGUACGGGAAGGGCUACUUUGGAAAAGGUAUUCUGUCAAAAAGCCGUCCACACUUCACAGGCUCAGAUGCUAAGCUGGUUGCGAAGUGGAAAGAUAUAAAGACUAACAUGCCUAUCAUCACAUCAGAAAAGUAUCAGCGCCGUGCAGAGUGGGCCGCGGAGCUCAUGCGCAGGCAGGGCCAGGAGGAGAGCGCAGUGCGCCGCGUCCUCGAGGAGUUCACGCGGCCACUGGAGCGACCUCGGGUCGGAAGGGCUGAAGGCGGCCAAUUGCAUGCUGAGCCUCGCUCAGAGACGGCUUCCACCAGCGAGGGCACAGCAAGGAGCGAGACACUGUCUGUGACCAACGGGGACUCCGGAAGGGCAGACAAGGCGGGCAGUGCAAGCCGGCCCUCGGACUGCCUGCAGGAGGGCCCUGGGCCCGAGCCGCUGAGCACAGACAGCUUGGAUGAGUGUGUGCCGGAAGACCCCACGCCUCGGCCCCGAGUCGGUCGCUGUGAACAGGACGGCCCUGCCCCUGCAUGCGGCCCCCAGCCCGAGGACAGCAGUCGUGGAGCAGAGGUCGCCUGUGCUGACCAGGAGUGCGUGCUCGUGGAGGAGGUGCUGUGUGAUGGGAGCCCGCGGGAGGACGCCCCAGCUGGGGAAUUGGUGCAGAGAAAGCAAUUAGUGUGCAGAAGAAACCCAUACAGGAUCUUUGAGUAUUUGCAGCUCAGCCUUGAAGAGGCCUUCUUCCUGGUGUACGCUCUGGGCUGCCUCAGUAUUUACUAUGAGAAGGAACCUUUAACGAUAAUGAAACUCUGGGAAGCCUUCAGUGCGGUGCAGCCCUCGUUCAGGACCACCUACCUGGCCUACCACUAUUUCCGAAGCAAGGGCUGGGUGCCCAAGGUGGGGCUCAAGUACGGGACGGACCUGUUGCUCUACCGGAAGGGGCCUCCGUUCUACCAUGCAAGCUACUCCGUCAUCGUUGAGCUCGUGGACGACCGUUUCCAGGGCACGGCCCGCAGGCCGUUCAGCUGGAGGGCGCUGGCCGCCCUGAGCAGGGUCUCAGCGAACGUCUCCAAGGAGCUUAUGCUAUGUUACUUGAUUAAACCCUCCACCAUGACUGACGAGGAAAUGGGCUCCCCAGAAUGUAUGAAAAGAAUCCAAGUCCAGGUCACCUUGCUGUUCACACUUCCCUGAACCCCACAGAGCCACUGCUCAGUCUCCAGACCCCAGCGGCUCCUCCCUCCAAUUGGUCCUGCUUGUAAACUGCUGAUCAGAGUCCACGCCUUCCUUCUCAGUGGCUGACACGGGCACACCAGCACCAUCACAGGAGGUGAUUCUGAGCCGCUGGGUUUCUUCACGAGAGAGGAGUGACCAGGACGAGCUCUAACAGUUCACCCUCAGCUCUCUGACCUCACCGACAGAUACUUGUUGAGCCUCCUCGCUGCGCCGAGUUCAGGGCUGGAGCAGAAGUCCUGUUGCUGUUGAUAGAGGUGUUAAAGGGCACGCCGCUGCCAGCGCCCAAAUUGUUAACAGUGUUUUAAAAGACAAGAUUACGUCGGAGAGAGACGAGGCUGUGCUGGCCUGAGCCGACUGCUCUGUGUCCCCAUCCACUCGGCGGGGCCUGGGGGACUCUUCCAGAGACGGGGGCUCGCUCUGCAGGUGCCUGGCAGCAGUAACGGUUGGCGCUCCUACUGCACCGUUCCGUUUAUAAAGCACUUGGUCCUCGGGGGUCUUGUUACCCGCGUCUGCUCCCCUACGGCUGACCCCACGUUAGAGUGUUUUCAGCAGGAAAAGCAGCAGCGUGUCUCGGGUAUCCAGGGACCCCGUCCCUGUGCGGUGCUGAGGAACGCCUCUGAGGCCGCAGGCGCUGCGCAGCUGCUCUCGGUGCGCUCGCCGGGCGUGGAUGGCACGUACUGUACAGUCACAUCUUGCUUCAGGGAAUUUGUUACCAAGUAAAUUAAACAGUAAACUAAGAUGCUGAUGAACUGACGCGUGCUGGAGUGCACCGCAGCCUCUUUUUGACCGGGUAGAGAGCGGAGAAGAUGCUGAGAGGCGUUGGGUGGCAACGGGAGGGCACGGGGGAGGGACGUUGCUCGACGGACACACAGGGUGGUCACGGGUGAACGAGGGCCAAAACACCUCCAGGGUCCAAGUUCCACAAACUGGUGGGGUCUUCUCAGCGCUGAGGACUCCAGAAGGGGCCCACGGGGACAUCUUAGGAAGCUGUGAGAUGAGACAACCAGAACGGGCACCUGUUGGCCUUGCCUAGGCCUUGGUCCCAAACUGACCCACAAGAUUCUGCCUGUCGUGAACACACAUCCUAGGUCAGUGUUCGGUUCACACUGCAGCCCUGCUCUGGAACAACGCGCUCGUUACGUCCUCUGAUGUGGACUGCACAGGUCUGGCGUUGCCAGCACAGCCGCUCUCCCCCAGACUUAGGCCAGGAGUGACCGGGAGUUGAGUGUCCUCAUGGCAGGUGCAGCACCCGGCGUCAGUGAUGCCGCUCGCCCCUCGGCAUUCUCCCCGUCCUCGUUGCUUACCCUGGGCUGCUCUGCAGAGUCGAGUCUUUGCUUUGAAAGCCUUGAAAAUCACAAUACAUCCAGAACUUUGCUUUCCUGUUUCAGUGGUCACUUGGUGCCGCUUCCCCAGCCCGGUGAGUGCAUCUGGUGAAAGCUCCCCUGAUCCCGGCCGCCCGGUGUCUAGGCUGCGGCGAUGACGUGGUAUUGGCGAGCGAGGAGGCACACACAGCUCUUCCUCGUGAGUGAAGGCCCCGGGUAUCGUCCUUAGUCUAGGAAACUGGGAUUCCCUGCCUCAGGAAUACGGUUUGGACAGAAUCCGGCAGCCACGCAGGCUUCCGCAUUCCCUGUGCAGGGGUUCGGACUGAGCCUUGCCCUCACGGUUCCCAGCUAACAGCAGUUUUAGCUUUACCUUCGGAGGCCUUAUGUCCUGGCGCCUUUUUCUUAUGAAAUAAACAUAGAAGAUAGCUUUUGUUU